rnacentral:rRNA from 1 species
UCCAACCUGCCCACCACUUGGGGGAUAACCUUGCGAAAGUAAGACUAAUACCCAAUGACGUCUCUAGAAGACAUCUGAAAAGAGAUUUAAAGAUUUAUCGGUGAUGGAUGGGGAUGCGUCUGAUUAGCUUGUUGGCGGGGUAACGGCCCACCAAGGCGACGAUCAGUAGGGGGUUCUGAGAGGAAGGUCCCCCACAUUGGAACUGAGACACGGUCCAAACUCCUACGGGAGGCAGCAGUGAGGAAUAUUGGUCAAUGGGCGAGAGCCUGAACCAGCCAAGUAGCGUGAAGGAUGACUGCCCUAUGGGUUGUAAACUUCUUUUAUAAAGGAAUAAAGUCGGGUAUGGAUACCCGUUUGCAUGUACUUUAUGAAUAAGGAUCGGCUAACUCCGUG